UACGUAGGGUGCAAGCGUUGUCCGGAAUUAUUGGGCGUAAAGAGCUUGUAGGCGGUUUGUCGCGUCUGCUGUGAAAACCUAAGGCUCAACCUUGGGCUUGCAGUGGGUACGGGCAGACUAGAGUGCGGUAGGGGUGACUGGAAUUCCUGGUGUAGCGGUGGAAUGCGCAGAUAUCAGGAGGAACACCGAUGGCGAAGGCAGGUCACUGG
rnacentral:rRNA from 1 species